rnacentral:rRNA from 1 species
AUUGAACGCUGGCGGCAUGCUUUACACAUGCAAGUCGAACGGCAGCGCGGGGCAACCUGGCGGCGAGUGGCGAACGGGUGAGUAAUAUAGCGGAACGUACCCAGAAGUGGGGGAUAACGUAGCGAAAGUUACGCUAAUACCGCAUACGAUCUACGGAUGAAAGUGGGGGACCUUCGGGCCUCAUGCUUGUGGAGCGGCCGAUAUCUGAUUAGCGAGUUGGUGCGGUAAAGGCUCACCAAGGCAACGAGCAGUAGCUGGUCUGAGAGGACGACCAGCAGCACUGGGACUGGAACACGGCCAAGCAUCCUACGGGAGGAAGCGGUGGGGAAUUUUAGACAAUGGGCGCACGCCUGAUCCAGCAAUGCCGCGUGAGUGAAGAGGGCCUGCGGGUUGUAAAGCUCUUUUGUCAGGGAAGAGACGGCUCGCGCUAAUAUCCUGGGCUAAUGACGGUACCUGAAAAAUAAGCACCGGCUAACUACGUGCCAGCAGCCGCCGUAA